AUUACUCCUACGGGAGGCAGCAGUGGGGAAUUUUGCACAAUGGGCGCAAGCCUGAUGCAGCGACGCCGCGUGAGGGAUGGAGGCCUUCGGGUUGUGAACCUCUUUCGCUCAUGGUCAAGCCGCAGUUUUGUCUGUGGUGAGGGUAGUGGGUAAAGAAGCGCCGGCUAACUACGUGCCAGCAGCCGCGGUAAUAAU
rnacentral:rRNA from 1 species